GUCACGUGUCUGAGUCCUCUGUCACACAGGGUCUCACCCGUCUAAGUCGGUCAGGUCCUUCUUCAGGAGAUGGUCUCUGGCCUGGUUCGCCCGCUCAGUCACUGAACAAAAGCUGUCCUCAGUUGUUUUAUCCAUUGGUCUCUGAGGACUCGACUGGGGCAGCUGAACUGAGUCUGCCCCAGUCUCCAUAACAACCCAGAGGAGCCCCCUGUGCUGCUGCGCUUCACGUAGAAAACUAUGGAUGGUUGACCGACAUUGAAAACACAUCAGUUACCCCAAAUACUGAAUAUUGUGUUUGGCAUUGCACACUAGAAGGAGCUCACCUGUGAAGUCUUUGUCUUUUUCAACCACAGUCUUCUGGGGCAGGACCUGGACCUGUCCCUCCUCCACUCCCACCACCUCUGCCACGGGCACUGAAACUUUAUUGACACAGAUGAGAAAGAGAUCCAGUGUAAAUGUUAGUGCCCAGAUUUAUGACUUAACUACAUUUGAUUACUUCUGUUGCGGUAAUAGAGCAUUUUGUUGCUGAAUUUCCUGUAUACUACAUUACAUCUGGUAAUCAUUCUUAUUUGACGUUCAUCUUUUGGAUAGCCUUUAGGCAAACGUUUAGCUAAUUGUAGACUAACUAAUACCUAUCUCUUCACCAGUUCUCUGCUCACAUGAUUCACACACCACCACAUUAUUAAUAACCAAAGACUGCUUUGCAUCUGAUCAAAUGACAUUUCAAAUACGUACAAAAUACGUUGUUAUACAAGUAAUCAAGUGAGUGAACACCACGUGUGACUGUUUAAUUAGCCAACAAUCAUAUCAUUAUGAUUAUAUAAUAAUUAUAAUGAGAUUAAACAUCCCACUCAUACAACCAUAUUACAUCUUUGUCUCUCUGCAAGUGUCAUAAAAAGACUUUCUGUUCUUUA